AUUGAACGCUGGCGGCAUGCCUUACACAUGCAAGUCGAACGGUAACGGGCCUUCGGGUGCCGACGAGUGGCGAACGGGUGAGUAAUGCAUCGGAACGUACCUUUCAGUGGGGGAUAACGUAGCGAAAGUUACGCUAAUACCGCAUAUUCUGUGAGCAGGAAAGCAGGGGAUCGCAAGACCUUGCGCUGAUUGAGCGGCCGAUGUCAGAUUAGCUAGUUGGUGAGGUAAAGGCUCACCAAGGCGACGAUCUGUAGCGGGUCUGAGAGGAUGAUCCGCCACACUGGAACUGAGACACGGUCCAGACUCCUACGGGAGGCAGCAGUGGGGAAUUUUGGACAAUGGGGGCAACCCUGAUCCAGCCAUGCCGCGUGAGUGAAGACGGUUUUCGGAUUGUAAACCUCUGUCCUUGGUGAAGAACAAAUGACGGUAGCCGAGGAGGAAGCCACGGCUAACUACGUGCCAGCAGCCGCGGUAAGAGUCACGUCG
rnacentral:rRNA from 1 species